rnacentral:rRNA from 1 species
CCUACGGGGGGCAGCAGUGAGGAAUAUUGGUCAAUGGGCGAGAGCCUGAACCAGCCAAGUCGCGUGAGGGAGUACUGCCCUAUGGGUUGUAAACCUCUUUUGUCGGGGAGCAAAAGCCGGACGUGUCCGGCUGUGAGAGUACCCGAAGAAAAAGCAUCGGCUAACUCCGUGCCAGCAGCCGCGGUAAUACGGAGGAUGCGAGCGUUAUCCGGAUUUAUUGGGUUUAAAGGGUGCGCAGGCGGGCUGUUAAGCCGGCGGUAAAAAUUCAGGGCUCAACCCUGUCGAGCCGGCGGAACUGGCAGUCU